rnacentral:sRNA from 1 species
CGCACCCACCAACCAAGACUUCUGGCCAAAUUUGUUCCCUUUUUUCCCCGCCCUCAAUCAACUAUCAUGGAUUCGAUACGUACAAUUCCUUUCCGCGCCGCUUUCUCCCAAGUAAAAGCAAAACUUGUAACUCUGCAUUUUCCCUCAUGGGUCAAACGUGGAAGUCCUUGUUUUGAAACCUUUGUUCGUAUGGGUAGUUAUAUGUAAAUAUAGAAUUCAAGUAGAAAAAAAAAAAAUUAAGAACGGUCCCAAUACCAAGGUAUAUUCCCGCUUCUCGUAUUCUCAUCUUUCCUCUCUCCCCCUUAUUGUCGGAUCACCUUUCUGCGCAGCUGAAGAAUUCCACAGAACUGGGAUUUUUUCUUUUUCUUUUUUUCUUUUCCCUUAGAAAAUUUUUUUUCACCAGUUGUCAAUGAUUGUGGGGAUUUCCAUAUGUUCUGUGAAUACAUCCGUACAUGCACGGGACCUUGGGUAACUAACCAACCACAUAGCCAGUGAAUACCCCCAUUAGGUAAGAUCUACGCAGAAGAGAGGCAUUGGAAUGGAUCUAGAAGCGCUUUGCAAAGCUCAUCAAAGGGAUCACCCACCCCGGGAAAGGAGGAGUUGAGAACAAAGAACAUU